ensembl:lncRNA
UUCUCAUUAGGAGGCUUUUUUUUAUGAAUGAUACUUCUUUGAACUGAGUAAGGUAAGGAAAUACAUAAUUACAUGUCACAGGUUUGUGGGUUUGUUUUUCUGGUUUUUUUGUUUGUUUGUUUGUUUUUUCAUUUUUAGAGGAGAGGAAAAGAGUGGGGAAGGAAUUCAUUCUUCUUUUUCUUUCUUUUUUUUUUUCCCCUCUUAUCUAAAUAAUAGAUAUCUACUGACUUGUUACAAUUAAAUCGUCAUUAACACAUUUAGAAUAUCAGUGUAUAUUUUGGAUCAAUUUGGAGGAAGGAAAUUGCUAGUGCACAACUGUUUAUAAUUGGAAGACUAGUUAUUUUGAAGGCAAUACUACAAAAAGAGGAAAAAGAGGUUUUGGAAAUGUAUGAAGUCAAUUACAGAUUUAUUAUUGUUUAGCUAUGUGGACAUUAAUGAAGGUCCAGAGUAUGCCGAGUUUAUGCAUAUUCACUGUAUACUAUUUAUAAAGGCUCCACCACCUCUCAGCAUUGCUGAUUAAAAUCACUUGUAGCUAUGAGAAUGAUUAUGUAAUCAAAGACAUAUAAAUGUGAUUUUUUUUUUUUAAUUAUUCACACCUGCACAAAUUUAAAAUUAUACACUCUGCUGUAUCUUUUAGAUGCUGGAAAAAACAAACAUACUGUUCAUACUCAGUGUGCUAUUUUUAAACGCCUACAAUUUGUUAUUUAAAGUUCAGUUUCUGCUUUUUUUUUUUUUUUAUCUUAACAUUGCAAAAAACACUGUUUGUUAUCCAGAGAGAUGAAUAAUUUUAUUUCACUUGGAAUUUUGUGCAUUGUUCCAUAUGAACUGAAAGUAAAAUGUUUGGUGUUGGGUCCUUCUAAAAAAUGUAGGGAUAUACAGAAGUACUUACUGAAAAUUCUUUUUAUCCAUCAGUUUGUGAAUUACAGAAUUCUGCAAGAUUGUGAGAUAUGGAUUCAGUUCCCAGCUUUAUUUGAAUAAUGAACUGAACUAUGCUACCUUUAAUUCUGUGGUAAGGCUGAAGAACAGUGAGGUGAAGGAAGGAAACUGGCUCAUGUCAUAUAAAUAAUUGGAUAGUUAUUGUUAAAAAAAAAAAAAAAAAGACUCAUCACUACUUUUUGUAGUUAAUGUAUCAGGUACAGUAUAUGAAUCUCUGACUCAGAAUAUUUGAACAGUCCAUACAGAGUGAAGCUACUAUUAUAGGAAGGAUAGUCACUGCAGUGAUCAAUAAGGAGAUGCUUAGCCUUCAUGCUGGCAUUGAAACCAACUCUGACACUACAUCAAUCUUUGACUGGUUCUUAACAGGCAUAUAAACUUCAGUUUUUUCACCCUGCUUCUGAGUAUGUCAGCCGCACUGGGAUAAAGGCCCACUGCUAUCUCUGAAGAGCCAUGUAUCUAGAGAAAAUUCACUGAUAUUUUGUUUUGACAGUGACUGUGAUUUUAUGAGAGCUGUCCAUUGCUUCUGUUUUUCCUCUGUCUCAUAUAUUCAAGGAGCCCAUGGGAGUCUGCUUGGCCUGUCCAGGCACAGCAAGGUUUACUAUUUGAACUUAUUGAGCCCCAAGGAGGCUUCUGGACAUACUCCAAGAAAGUUGUCAUAGCCACAGGAUCUCGAUUCUUUUUAUUUGUAUACGCUCUCCUAUGUCAUUCCCUUCAUGGUGCUAAUUCACACUAGACCUCUAGGAUGUUGCUGUUUCUGUGCCUUGAACUCUGUCUGCAUCACCUGUCAUGAUUUUCAGGUCAAACUACAGGCAGACCUUUUUCUUUUAUGGUUAGUUGGUGGUGCUGCUUUUUGCAUUACCUCAUCUAACAGAAAAAGCAGAGAAGAAACUUACAGUCUAAUACUUUACUUUCUCAUUGCUUUCUCUUUUCUGUCUUCCCCCUGGGUGGGCACAUAAUAAGUCUCCAUCUUUUCUCUCAUUCGUCCUUUUCCAUUAUUUUCCAAUAAGUGAUAGGGAGGAAAAGAAUAAAACCUGCCUAAUAACAGCAUAAAUCUGCUUCUGCAUUCCUCUUUCUUCUUUUAACAUUUAUAAUAAAACAAUGUAAUAUCCUCUCCACACAAAUAAAUGCAUACAUUUAUUUUAAAAUUUAUGUACUCAGUAAACCCUGUGUAGCUGCUGACACCAAUGCAGUCCUAACCAGGAAGAGUGCCCAAGCACAGCAGCACCAUACUACCAGGAAAGAAAAAUCCAUGUCUAUUGUGGAAGACCUGGAAAAGAGAGGUGAGGAUGAAGGAGCUGCUGAGUGUGUUCUGGACAACCAGGUGCAAAGUCACCCUGCAUGGGUAGUUCUGUCAGUUGUCCUACACCAGGUUACUUAUCUCUGUUCAUCCAUCUCUGCCCAAAGGUUCCCAGUGCCACAGGCUUAUGGUCUCAACCACAGAGAUAGUCUUAAAGAGGGCAGUUAAUACCUAAUGUCAAAGGUUAAAAAAAAACAAACAAAGGAAAAUAUUAAGUUCUUUAACAUAUCUUAACAUCUUCACAGUUCCUUCUGGCCAGCAAGACUGUAAGAAUACAUUUCCUUAUUUAAACCACAUUGGUAAAAAUCUGAAUUCAGCUCAUACACAAAGAUACCCACAACAGCACUCAAGUCACAACUUUCAGGGCUCCUCGGUUUCUCCCUUUUUUGAAAUGCACAACUGGCAAUUUCCCACACUGAAUAAUUAUUGCAGACAAAAUUGCAAUUUAUGAGGGCCCCUGAGGGGAACCACAGUUCAGGCUGUUCCUGUCCAGGCUUCCAUGGACUUCAGUCACCCUUCCCAUGACCCAGGACCCCAUACCACCUGUACUGCUUUCAACUCAUACCCCAGUGAAGCUGCAACAGGGUUGGUUCCCAGCUGCCAAUAGCCCUGUCCUACUCAGCCAUGGUUCUUGCCCUGACAGACCCUGUGGGGUGUGACUGACCCUGCUGUACCCUGAUGGCACAAAACUGAAGAAAACAGUGAGAAGGAAAUUAUUGGCCAUUUUUCAAGGCAGACAAAAGUAAUUGUUUUCAAACUGUGAUACAUUUCUCUCAAAAGUGUCUUUCUUAUAUUGACUUUCAUAUAGUUUUGUGUAAAGAGCUACAGUAGUCUCUUUGAACUAUCUACUUAAAAGCAUGUAACUUAAAAAUAAAGCUUUUCUGGAAAGGGAGUGAAAGUUUCCACUCAGUUGUCCUCCAGCCUGCAUCUCAUACUCUGUCUGCAUGUUUCUGUUGUUUUCCUUAUACUGGCAACUUUUUAAUCUUUCAUUUUUAAUUUUCAACAGCCAGAAUUUGAGGAUUGGAAGGAAGACAUGGCUCAGGGAAACUGUUGGAGCUGUGUGGUCUAUCUUUAGCAGCAGCAGAAUGGUUUUAAAAUGACUUAAUCUGCUUGAGGCAUUCUAAGAAACUCCAGAUUUGUGUGUGAUUCUACUAAUAUACACUAAUCAUGAUUCUGUGACUAAAAACGUUCAUGAGAAGAUCACAGGUGACUUAAGGGGAUAUAUUGCAUCAUGGUAAGUGGGUAUAAAUGGAUAAAAAUCACAUAUAUAGAUAUGAAUGCCACAUGAAAGUCAGCGGAGUAGAAAUAGUGCAUGAGUAAGUGGAUUUAUCAUGCUUAUUAAAAAAAACAGAAAUACAUUCCAGGCUGCUAUUGCUCUACCUCUAAAUUAUAGAGCACACAAUACUCACCCUUCUCAAUGUGUAGAAGAAUAAGGGAAUAAGUGUACAGUAACUUCAGAUUGUUUUUUGUUGUUGUUGCUGUUGUUGUUUGUUUUAUUUAUUUAUUAAUAUUUGCAGUGCUGUUUCCUGAUGCUUGAGUUUCCAAAUGUGUGCGGAUAAAGGCAGACUGGUACACAGAGAUUUAGAUUUCAGCAUUCAAGGACCCACAUGGAAGCAAGCUGCAGUUAUCCUUAUGAAUCUAUGUCUUAGUCUUACUGUAGUGCAAAAUUCAUACAUUCUCUUCACCUAUAUUCCAUUCACAACAAUAUAUAUGUAUUGAAAAAAGUUAUGCAAAAACAAAAUGUUCUAAUGUGACUAUGAAACCUUCUGAAUAGUAUCAGAAGCAGAGUUCAUUUUAGUGAGAUGAAAAUUUAGAAAGACCUAAAAAAUUUGCAUUUCUUAUUGUAUUUGUGAAUAUUGCAAAUAAAAUAUCACUGAGUUCGUCAUGGAUGGCCACUGUCAAGAACUAAAAAGUACUAAGAUACAUAAAGAUCCUCAUGGAAAAGUAGGGCAGGGAUGACAGAGAGAAGGGAAGUGCAAUGGUACUUGACACAUUCAGGGCAAGACACUCCUGAUCGACAAUUGCAGUGUCAUUACCAGCUCAGGAGCAUCUGCUUCAGUCACAUCAUAGUCAGUAAAAUACCUCCAUUUCUGUCUUGCUGUUUACUCAUUCAUGUGUGUCAGAAUGCCAAUAGAUAAUCACUGUAUUUUGACGUGGCCUCACAUUUGUUCGAACAGAAAAUGUGAUGCUACAUUGCUGUCUAUAUCAAAAACAAUCUUGUAAAUAUAGCUGUCCCUCAUUUUCAUCCUCCCCAGUUGUUAUCCCUAGCACCAUUGGUGCAGCACAUUUUGUUUUUGUGUUCACUUACAGAAGUUUAAGAUCUAUGGCAGAGGCAAUCAGUAAGUAUUCACAAGAAAAAAAGUUGAAAAUGUAGCAGUGUGCUUUUUGCAGACAAGAUGAUUCACAUAUAUCUUAAUUCAAUUAUACUCAAAUUUAUUUGUUAUACAGUUGACAGCUAGGAAGCUCCUGAUCAUCAGAAUUGAGGCAAAAUAUUUAUUCUACUCUGCUUCUCCCUGUACUCCUCUGCUUUUAAUGUCAUUUGAGUCACUGCAGAUUCUUCGUGGAUAUUUGUUGCCCUAUGACUGUUGGCUUCAUAUUCUGUAGGCAGCAGCCAUGCAGCCACUUAAGGUACAUGGAAUAAUACACUACCCUGUUCUCUGGCCGCUGUGGCUCUGCUAGCAAGUAACUGCAGCACAGGAAGACUACUGGGUAGUAUUUACAAAAUAGGUUACUAAUGUUAUUAUGUAUAUACAUAUCUAUGUUUGUGUGCCUAACUUGGCACCCUGCCUUUUUACUAUUUACUGAAUGUGCUUUUGUCUCAAUUAACUGUUUACUUCUGCAGAAUAGUCAUAACUGAAAGUUAAUACAGUGAUAGAGGAAAAAGUAAUCCUUCCUAAUUGGCUGUGGUAAUGUACUUGACUUUUUUUGAAAGCACUUUAUUAUAAGACUUUCACUAUUGGUAAGGAAUCAAAAUAAUCAUUCCCCUCUUUCCUCCUACCCCCGAAGACCUGUAGCUGAUUGUUGUGACAUCACUGCACAUGAAACCCCUGUAUCACUAGUUUUUUAUUCCCUUUAUUAGGAAAAUCACUAGUUUUUUAUUCUCUUUAUUAUCCAUUUGUAAAAUGGAUGUGCUCUCUGUUGUUUCAUACGACAGUUAAGGCCGUUUCAGUGCAGAAUGCUCUUAGCUGAUUAUAAGAAUUACACUCUUUCUGUUCUUCAGUGUAACAAUUAACAAACCUAUAAUAAGAUAGAACAUUCAGCAAGCAAAAUUUCAUAAUGUCUAAAAUAUAAGUCUAUGCAUCAAAUCCAAGCCCUUUUUAUUUAAAGUCAUUUAGCAAUAGCUAUUAUGUAGGAAAAAAAUCUUCAUUUACUUAAAAAGGAAAAAAAACCUUAAUUUCCUGAAAAACUGCACUGAAAAAUAAUUGCUUGAAAUGUACACUGUUGUCUGACAAAAAAAAACUUCUAAUUAGCUUUUGCAGGAUCUUCCUUGAACCAAUCUAGACAGAAAGAUAUCCUUUACUGUUACUGAUGGGAUGGAAUGAGGCCAAGGCUGAUGGAGAGAACACUGACCAGAAUGCUGAGUUUUUUCAUGCAUUUUCCACGGAAAGAAUAUAAAGCAUCAAAGACUGAGGCCAGAGCCUUCCUUCAGGGUCUUGCUCAACCACUUCUGUGCAACUGGAAUUUUGUUUUUCAGUUUCCUUUUUGGUUCAUACACACAGGCCAUUCUUCUCACUUAGA